UUGUCAUGGCAAUCAGGGGAGCCCACAGCAGCUGCGCACGCUCUCUCUGUCUCUAACUCCUCAGAGAGACAGAAAACAAUUAAAACGAAUCCCCUCAAAAGCAUGGCCAGGAACGACCGAAAUGAAAACCGAAAACACCGUGAGCGUCGUCAUCUUGUUGACUAUAGCGCUGCCGAGUUUCAGUGGUUAAAGUUAAAAAAUGUGACCUGGACAGAUUGAGAGAGAAGAGGUUCAACGAGCGUUUUUCAAGAUUUGUCCUCUAAAAUUAACAUGGGAGUAGAUGGGGCCGUGAGAGGGUGUUGCUGGCGCAUCAGUGCGUCUCCCGCCAAAACUAUUUGUCUGACAGCUUCAGCAGUAGUAUCACUGCGACCCCAACGGAUUUACCUACGUUUCUAUCUAUAAAUUAUUUCGGUAGAGUGAAAUUUGUGGCCAUGACAGCAGUUUACAAAUUUAUUUUUCGACAAAUUUUUCCCUUCUCCCCACACUCUAGCGAUGAUGUCACGCACUCUGGCAGUUUUUUUCAGUUGAGGUUCUCGCAAUACACACCCAUUCAUUUUUUUUUACCGUUUUUUGGCGAUUUACCGGCAAACCGUUUGGCGAAACGCUUAGAAAAGUCAUAGCACUCGAUUCCCGGCCGAGCCGCACGUUUUGAUACCUUUCUUGUGUACGUGCGACAAAAGCUCCGGGAGGAGUAGCGCGCCGAAAAACGUACGGAAGAAUAAAAUAUAAUAAGCCCGAGGGAGAGUAGUAUUGUGCUUGCUUUGCAAGGCACAAUAAUAAGUAUGGGGAAUAAUAGUAUUGUGCUUGCUUAUGCAAGGCACAAUAACUAGAAAAUUCCUAAAGCAAUUUUGAUUGUGCCUUGCUCUGGCCCAUAUGUUAAUACCAUGUCUACGUGCUAACCGCUAUUUAACCGCUAAUCGCUAGCUCUGCGCUAAUCGCUAGCUAAGUGCUAACCGAUAAUUGGUAGCUAAGUGCUAGCUGUGGUUAAUGUGUUUAAUUGUAUUAUGCUCCUGAAGGAGUGCUAAUGUAAAUUAAGGAACAGCUCAUAGUAGGGUAAAAUAUUUAAGGUGUAUUGUUCUUAUUUUGUGUUAAUAUUAAAAUCAUUCAGCUUUAAA